rnacentral:misc_RNA from 1 species
GAUGAAGAACGCAGCGAAAUGCGAUACUUGGUGUGAAUUGCAGAAUCCCGUGAACCAUCGAGUCUUUGAACGCAAGUUGCGCCCGAAGCCAUUAGGCCGAGGGCACGCCUGCCUGGGCGUCACACGUCGUUGCCCCCCCAUCUACUCCUUCGGGAUUGCGGGGGGCGGAUGAUGGCCUCCCGUGCGCCUCGUCGCGCGGUUGGCAUAAAUGCCAAGUCCUCGGCGACGCACGCCGCGACAAUCGGUGGUUGCGAAACCUCGGUUGCCCGUCGUGUGCGGUCGUCGCGCAUCGAGGGCUCGAAAAAAUUGCCGGGCUCCGGCUCGGCUUUCAACGCGACCCCAGGUCAGGCGGGGUUACCCGCUGAAUUUAAGCAUAUCAAUAAGCGGAGGA